UCUAGAUGUUCAAUAAAUCUUAUAAAUGAUUAUUACAUACUCUACGACAUGAAGUAUUUCAACUAAUCAACUUCACAUUGUGAAUAUUCGAAAACUUUCUUUUGUCUAAUUAUUCUAUAUAGAAUUUUCACGGAAAAGAAGUAUUCGAAAUUAAAUAAUAUGAGUAAUUUGACAUUUGUCGAUUACUUACAGAGAGGAGUUUCCUUCGCAUUGUUCAGUACAACAAUAUACGCUACGUAUGUGACAGCACUAAACAUUAGGAAACGAAGACAGGCAAGACGUCUUGCUCAUGAUGAGAUUGAUGACUCGAAGCAAGAGGGAGAUGACAGGAAAACAUGAAUAUCGCAGUGAACUACAAAGUCUUUGCUGUCACCCAAAAAAAUUCCAAUCAGACUCGACUAGGAUUACAAAACAACUUAAUUAUACUAUUUCUAUGCACACAAUAUUAUUAGUUAUUGGCAACAGUUGCCAGCUCAUAAUUAUGAUGAUAAGCUUGUGAAUCAAACUGAAAUAUGUUUCAUGUUGUGUA